rfam:Triticum aestivum genome assembly, contig: Triticum_aestivum_CS42_TGACv1_scaffold_393605_5AS
UAGGUACUCCCUCUGUCCAGAAAUAUUUUUUCUCAAAAUGGAUAAAUUGGAUGUAUCUAUAACUAAAAUAAGUCUAGAUACAUCCAUUUCUAGGACAGGUAUUUCCGGACGGAGGGAGUAUUAA